CCCUUUGUGUACCCACCUCUGUUGCUUUGGCGGGCCGCGGUCCUCCGCGGCCGCCCUCCGUCCGGGGGGUGGCCAGCGCCCGCCAGAGGACCAUCAAACUCCGGUCAGUGAACGUUGCCGUCUGAAAAACAAUCAAUAAACUAAAACUUUCAACAACGGAUCUCUUGGUUCUGGCAUCGAUGAAGAACGCAGCGAAAUGCGAUAAGUAAUGUGAAUUGCAGAAUUCAGUGAAUCAUCGAAUCUUUGAACGCACAUUGCGCCCCUCGGUAUUCCGAGGGGCAUGCCUGUUCGAGCGUCAUUACAACCCUCAAGCUCUGCUUGGUGUUGGGCACCGCCCUUCCGCGGGCGCGCCUCAAAGACCUCGGCGGUGGCGUCUUGCCUCGAGCGUAGUAGAAAACACCUCGCUUUGGAGCGCACGGCGCCGCCCGCCGGACGAACCUUUUGAACUUUCUCAAGGUUGACCUCGGAUCAGGUAGG
rnacentral:rRNA from 1 species